rnacentral:rRNA from 1 species
AGCUCCAAGAGCGUAUAUUAAAGUUGUUGCAGUUAAAAAGCUCGUAGUUGAAUUUUGGGGUGGCCCCAGGAGGUCCACUUAUUUGUGAGUACUUUUUGGGACCGCCCUUCCAUGGCUUAUCCCUUCAGGGGGGUGGGCCAUAAUUACUUUGAGUAAAUGAGAGUGUUCAAAGCAGGCAAGCGCUUGAAUCUUUUAGCAUGGAAUAAUAAAAUAGGACGAUGAUUCUAUUUUGUUGGUUUCUAGGACCAUCGUAAUGAUUAAUAGGGACGGUCGGGGGCAUUAGUAUUCAGUUGUAAGAGGUGAAAUUCUUAGAUUUUCUGAAGACUAACUACUGCGAAAGCAUUUGUCAAGGACGUUUUCAUUA